GGGACGGACGUGUCCGUGGUGAGGCUGACCGCUGUCUCCAACCCUGACUCCUGCUCAAAAUAGCCUGAGCCGGAGCCCGAGUAGAUGUCAUCCAGUUCAUCGUCCCCAAAGGGAUCAUCAUCCCCAGAGCCCUCCAGGUCCACCGGCCUCUCGUAGUUCUCAUUGCGCCAGCGCUGAGCCAGCGCUGCGCGGGCGCUGAGCAGCAGCAGCAGCACCGCGAGGCCCCGCAGCUCCGCGGGCAUCUUCGUGCCGCAAGGACGGCUCAGCAGCGCGCGGGGGCGGGGAACGGCCUUU
rnacentral:lncRNA from 1 species